CUUGGUCAUUUAGAGGAAGUAAAAGUCGUAACAAGGUUUCCGUAGGUGAACCUGCGGAAGGAUCAUUACAGUGUUCCCUGCCCUCACGGGUAGAAACGCCCACCCUUGUGAAUAUAUCUUGUUGCUUUGGCAGGCCGCCCCCGGGCACCGGCUUCGGCUGGCUCGCGCCUGUCAGAGGACCCCAAACUCUGAAUGUUAGUGUCGUCUGAGUACUAUAUAAUAGUUAAAACUUUUAACAACGGAUCUCUUGGUUCUGGCAUCGAUGAAGAACGCAGCGAAAUGCGACAAGUAAUGUGAAUUGCAGAAUUCAGUGAAUCAUCGAAUCUUUGAACGCACAUUGCGCCCCGUGGUAUUCCGCGGGGCAUGCCUGUUCGAGCGUCAUUUAACCCAAUCCAGCUUGCUGGGUCUUGGGCUUCGCCUCCGGGCGGGCCUCAAAAUCAGUGGCGGCGCCGUCUGGCUCUAAGCGUAGUAAUACUCCUCGCUACAGGGCUCCGGACGGUUGCUGGCCAGUAACCCCCAAAUUUAUUCAGGUUGACCUCGGAUCAGGUAGGGAUACCCGCUGAACUUAAGCAUAUCAAUAAGCGGAGGAAAAGAAACCAACAGGGAUUACCUCAGUAACGGCGAGUGAAGCGGUAACAGCUCAAAUUUGAAAUCUGGCCCUUUCAGGGUCCGAGUUGUAAUUUGUAGAAGAUGCUUCAGGUGUGGCUCCGGUCUAAGUUCCUUGGAACAGGACGUCAUAGAGGGUGAGAAUCCCGUAUGUGACUGGUUGCCUUCGCCCAUGUGAAGCUCUUUCGACGAGUCGAGUUGUUUGGGAAU
rnacentral:sRNA from 1 species